rnacentral:lncRNA from 1 species
GGAGAAGGGGAAAAGCUCCAGGGAAAUAAGACUUGACUUGCUUUCAGAACUCCUCUGGUGCUGGGGGUUGAUUGGCUAAGGUCAGUCUAACACCUUGAUGACAUUUAAAGUUAAAUGAGAUGAUGUAUGCGCGUCCCUAGCAAGGCUGCCAUCUUGGACACAGACUGUGAUGUGAAUGGUGCCUUCCAGAGUUGUGCAGUGAGAUUCCUGUCCCCACACCCUCCAGGAAGUGGAGAGGCUACACAGACCCAGGCUCCCACGAACCCCCUGUGCCCCCUGGUUUUCGGAAAUGUUGCUCUUUGGCCCAGCAGCCCAAGCCCGGGCCCAGGCAUCCCGGCCCUGUUAGGUGCAGCUGGUCUCGGGCCCGUCUCAGCCAAAGCCAAAACAAAGUGACUUGCCACUGGUGGCUGUGCUAAAAAUAAGGAGCCCACACACUACGCCCUUUGAGCAAGCAGGUCAUGCAGCGGAGAUUUCUGUGGGGUGAAGCCUGGGAGAUGAAGGGAAAGAGUCACGGAGGAGCUGAAAGCUGCACAACCGCAGUGAACCAGAGGUGUAGGAAUCCAUGGUGAAGUUGCCAACUGAAAAUUGCCUUUUCAGAAGGCCUGGAUGGGGAGGCCACAGCUGGGGAGUUACUGCAGUAACGGAGAACACAUCAUCCUCAUCCUUGUCUCUCCCACUGACCUUGGAUCACCCAGCAGUGCCACACUGGGUGCUGUGUUCCAGAGAUAAGAUGGAGAACACCCCCCCCCCCGCCACAUUUCUCUUCUUAGGAGGCUUAUAGUUUAAGGGAGAAGAAAGAUAGGCCCAAGCAAGUAUCACCCAAAAUAAUUCCAGAGUGCGAUGAAGUGCUAUAGAGAAAACAAUCAAAAGUCUGAGUUAGGGCAUCCCAUGAGGGAUAUGACUUUCAUAAAGGCAGCAGGCUGUGGUCCUGGAGAGACUGACAUACAAGCAGAUGUGCUGUAAGGAGGAGGGAGAUUGCAGAAUUUGCUGGGGUAGAGGUUGGCAAAGUAUUGAAAAAAGGCAGUGUAGUUGGAGGACGGUAUGCCUCUGGAAUAAUAAAACAAAAUGGAAUGAAAAGAAAAGAAAACCC